AUUGAACGCUGGCGGCAGGCCUAACACAUGCAAGUCGAACGAGUGGCGGACGGGUGAGUAAUGUCUGGGAAACUGCCUGAUGGAGGGGGAUAACUCCUGGAAACGGUAGCUAAUACCGCAUACCAUCAGAUGUGCCCAGAUGGGCUUAGCGAGGUGGUGGGGUAACGGCUCACCAAGGCGACGAUCCCUAGCUGGUCUGAGAGGAUGACGAGCCACACUGGAACUGAGACAGGGGCCAGACUCCUACGGGGGGCAGCAGUGGGAAAUAUUGCACAAUGGGGGCAAGCCUGAGGCAGCCAUGCGGCGUGUAUGGAGAAGGCCUGGGGGGUGUAAAGUACUUGCAGCGGGGAGGCGUUACCCGCAGAAGAAGCACCGGCUAACUCCGUGCCAGCAGCCGCGUAAUAC
rnacentral:rRNA from 1 species